rnacentral:rRNA from 1 species
CCUACGGGUGGCAGCAGUGAGGAAUAUUGGUCAAUGGCCGGAAGGCUGAACCAGCCAAGUCGCGUGAGGGACGACUGCCCUAUGGGUUGUAAACCUCUUUUAUAAGGGAAGAAUAAAUGCUACGUGUAGCAUGAUGCCUGUACCUUAUGAAUCAACAUCGGGAAACUCCGUGCCAGCAGCCGGGGUAAUACGGAGGAUGCGGGGGUUAUCCGGAUUUAUUGGGGUAAAGGGGUGCGUAGGGGGUGUUUUAAGUUUGUGGUUAAACGUCGGGGCUUCACCUUGAUUUGCCAUUAAUACUGUAAGACUCGAGUUCAGACGAGGUAGGCGGAAUAAGUUAAGUAGCGGUGAAAUGCGUAGAUAUAACGUAGAACUCCGAUAGCGAAGGCAGCUUACCAGACUGCGACUGACGCUGAAGCACGAGAGCGUGGGUAGCGAACAGGAUUAGAUACCCGUGUAGUC